rnacentral:rRNA from 1 species
GACGAACGCUGGCGGCGUUCCUACUCCCUUCAAGUCGAACGCAGUGGGGACGGGUGAGUAACACGUGGGUAACCUCCCAUCAGAGGGGAUAACACUUGGAAACAGGUGCUAAACCGAUACUGAUGGAUGGACCCGCGGUGCAUUAGCUAGUUUGUGAGGUAACGGCUCACCAAGGCCACGAUGCCUAGCCGACCUGUGAGGGUGAUCGGCCACACUGGGACUGAGACACGGCCCAGACUCCUACGUGAGGCAGCAGUAGGGAAUCUUCGGCAAUGGACGAAAGUCUGACCGAGCAACGCCGCGUGAGUGAAGAAGGUUUUCGGAUCGUAAAACUCUGUUGUUAGAGAAGCGGUAUCUAACCAGAAAGCCACGGCUAACUACGUGCAAGCAGCCGCGGUAAUAC